GUGCUUGCACUGAUUUCAACAAUGAAGCGAGUGGCGAACUGGUGAGUAACACGUGGGAAAUCUGCCCAGAAGCAGGGGAUAACACUUGGAAACAGGUGCUAAUACCGUAUAACAACAAAAUCCGCAUGGAUUUUGUUUGAAAGGUGGCUUCGGCUAUCACUUCUGGAUGAUCCCGCGGCGUAUUAGUUAGUUGGUGAGGUAAAGGCCCACCAAGACGAUGAUACGUAGCCGACCUGAGAGGGUAAUCGGCCACAUUGGGACUGAGACACGGCCCAAACUCCUACGGGAGGCAGCAGUAGGGAAUCUUCCACAAUGGACGAAAGUCUGAUGGAGCAAUGCCGCGUGAGUGAAGAAGGGUUUCGGCUCGUAAAACUCUGUUGUUAAAGAAGAACACCUUUGAGAGUAACUGUUCAAGGGUUGACGGUAUUUAACCAGAAAGCCACGGCUAACUACGUGCCA
rnacentral:rRNA from 2 species